GUGCUCACUUUGGCAGCACUUAUACUAAAAUUGGAAUGUUAAGAGAAGAUGAUUAACAUGGCCCCUGCUGAAGGAUGACACACAAGUUCAUGAAGCAUUACAUAUUUUU
rnacentral:snRNA from 1 species